UUUAUUGAGAGUUUGAUCCUGGCUCAGGACGAACGCUGGCGGCGUGCCUAACACAUGCAAGUCGAGCGAUGAAGCUUCUUCGGAAGUGGAUUAGCGGCGGACGGGUGAGUAACACGUGGGCAACCUGCCUCAUAGAGAGGGAUAGCCUUUCGAAAGGAAGAUUAAUACCUCAUAAGAUUGUAGUUUCGCAUGAAACGGCAAUAAAAGGAGCAAUCCGCUAUGAGAUGGGCCCGCGUCGCAUUAGCUAGUUGGUAAGGUAAUGGCUUACCAAGGCGACGAUGCGUAGCCGACCUGAGAGGGUGAUCGGCCACAUUGGGACUGAGACACGGCCCAGACUCCUACGGGAGGCAGCAGUGGGGAAUAUUGCACAAUGGGGGAAACCCUGAUGCAGCAACGCCGCGUGAGUGAUGAAGGUCUUCGGAUUGUAAAACUCUGUCUUUGGGGACGAUAAUGACGGUACCCAAGGAGGAAGCCACGGCUAACUACGUGCCAGCAGCCGCGGUAAUACGUAGGUGGCAAGCGUUGUCCGGAUUUACUGGGCGUAAAGGGAGCGUAGGUGGAUAUUUAAGUGGGAUGUGAAAUACUCGGGCUUAACCUGAGUGCUGCAUUCCAAACUGGAUAUCUAGAGUGCAGGAGAGGAAAGUGGAAUUCCUAGUGUAGCGGUGAAAUGCGUAGAUAUUAGGAAGAAC
rnacentral:rRNA from 1 species